AGCUGAUCAGCAUGCCGCGUGUGUGAUGAAGGCCUUCGGGUUGUAAAGCUCUUUUGUCCGGAAAGAAAUCCUUGGCUCUAAUACAGUCGGGGGAUGACGGUUCCGGAACAAUAACCACCGGCUAACUACGUGCCAGCAGCCGCGGUAAUACGUAUGGUGCGAGCGUUAAUCGGAAUUACUGGGCGUAAAGCGUGCGCAGGCGGUUUGCUAAGACCGAUGUGAAAUCCCCGGGCUCAACCUGGGAACUGCAUUGGAGACUGGCGGGCUUGAGUAUGGCAAAGGGGGGUAGAAUUCCACGUGUAGCAGUGAAAUGCGUAAAGAUGUGGAGGAAUACCGAUGGCGAAGGCAGCCCCCUGGGCCAAUACUGACGCUCAUGCUCGAAAGCGUGGGGAGCCAACAGGAUUAGAUACCCCAGUAGUCAA
rnacentral:rRNA from 1 species